AACGAACGCUGGCGGCGUGGAUAAGACAUGCAAGUCGAACGGGAGCAAGCGGAUAGCAAUAUUUGCUUGCUCUAGUGGCGAAAGGGUGCGUAACACGUAGCUACUUACCUUGAAGUGGGGGAUAGCCCGGCGAAAGCCGGAUUAAUACCGCAUGUGAUCGAAAGAUCAAAGCUGGGGAUCGUAAGACCUGGCGCUUCAAGAUAGGGCUGCGGCCUAUCAGGUAGUUGGCGGGGUAAUGGCCCACCAAGCCUAAGACGGGUAGCUGGUCUGAGGGGACGACCAGCCACACUGGAACUGAGACACGGUCCAGACACCUACGGGUGGCAGCAGUCGAGGAUUUUUCUCAAUGGGGGAAACCCUGAAGGAGCGACGCCGCGUGAGGGAUGAAGGUCUUCGGAUUGUAAACCUCUGUCAUGCGGGAUCAAAGCAUACGACCUAACACGUCGUAUGUUGAUAGUACUGCAAGUGGAAGCAGUGGCUAACUCUGUGCCAGCAGCCGCCGUAACAC
rnacentral:rRNA from 1 species